rnacentral:rRNA from 1 species
AGUGGCGAACGGGUGAGUAACACGUGAGCAACCUGCCCUCCACUUCGGGAUAAGCCUUGGAAACGGGGUCUAAUACCGGAUAUGAGCCUUGCCUGCAUGGGUGGGGUUGGAAAGUUUUUCGGUGGGGGAUGGGCUCGCGGCCUAUCAGCUUGUUGGUGGGGUGAUGGCCUACCAAGGCUUCGACGGGUAGCCGGCCUGAGAGGGCGACCGGCCACACUGGGACUGAGACACGGCCCAGACUCCUACGGGAGGCAGCAGUGGGGAAUAUUGCACAAUGGGCGAAAGCCUGAUGCAGCGACGCCGCGUGAGGGAUGACGGCCUUCGGGUUGUAAACCUCUUUCAGCAGGGAAGAAGCGCAAGUGACGGUACCUGCAGAAGAAGCGCCGGCUAACUACGU